GACAGAGGAUGCAAACGUUGCUCGGAAUUACUGGGCGUACAGCGCGUGUAGGCGGUUUCGCGAGUCGGGUGUGAAAGCCCGGGGCUCAACCCCGGAAGUGCACUCGAUACUACGGAGCUGGAGUACUGAAGAGGAGAGCGGAAUUCCCGGUGUAGAGGUGAAAUUCGUAGAUAUCGGGAGGAACACCAGUGGCGAAGGCGGCUCUCUGGGCAGAUACUGACGCUGAGACGCGAAAGCGUGGGGAGCAAACAGG
rnacentral:rRNA from 1 species